rnacentral:sRNA from 1 species
UGACAGUGACUGCUAACUCCUUCAGUGC